GGGUGACUAGUCUAGUGGUCAGGACGGUUCGUUGUGGCUUUCAAACCCUCGUCCGAACAAACCCCGGUUCGAUUCCGGGGUCGCCCA
rnacentral:tRNA from 1 species